GGGCCUAUAGCUCAGUUGGUUAGAGCAGUGGACUCAUAAUCCAUUGGUCGUAGGUUCGAGUCCUACUGGGCCCACCA
rnacentral:tRNA from 1 species